rnacentral:sRNA from 1 species
UUGAUAACACUGGAGACUGAAGUCCAUUAUUUAUCCGUAAGACAGUUACAGCAUGGGCAGCAGCACUGCAAGCUUAUCACUUCCCCCACAGUCAGGGACCUUUAACCUCGAUUCAAUAGGAUCAUCUUUCGAAGCAAGAAAGUAGUCCGUUUCCAUGCCAAUAUAAUCCUUUGACUUU